UACGUAGGGGGCGAGCGUUGUCCGGAAUUAUUGGGCGUAAAGAGCGUGUAGGCGGUCCGGUAAGUCCGCUGUGAAAGUCCAGGGCUCAACCCUGGAAUGCCGGUGGAUACUGCCGGGCUAGAGUCCGGAAGAGGCGAGUGGAAUUCCUGGUGUAGCGGUGGAAUGCGCAGAUAUCAGGAGGAACACCAAUGGCGAAGGCAGCUCGCUGGGACGGUACUGACGCUGAGGCGCGAAAGCGUGGGGAGCGAACAGG
rnacentral:rRNA from 1 species